UAAGUACCCCGAGGAAAAGAAAUCAACCGAGAUUCCCCCAGUAGCGGCGAGCGAACGGGGAGCAGCCCAGAGCCUGAAUCAGUGUGUGUGUUAGUGGAAGCGUCUGGAAAGGCGCGCGAUACAGGGUGACAGCCCCGUACACAAAAAUGCACAUGCUGUGAGCUCGAUGAGUAGGGCGGGACACGUGGUAUCCUGUCUGAAUAUGGGGGGACCAUCCUCCAAGGCUAAAUACUCCUGACUGACCGAUAGUGAACCAGUACCGUGAGGGAAAGGCGAAAAGAACCCCGGCGAGGGGAGUGAAAAAG
rnacentral:rRNA from 1 species